rnacentral:rRNA from 1 species
UGGGGAAUAUUGCACAAUGGGCGAAAGCCUGAUGCAGCGACGCCGCGUGCGGGAUGAAGGCCUUCGGGUUGUAAACCGCUUUUGAUUGGGAGCAAGCGAGAGUGAGUGUACCUUUCGAAUAAGCACCGGCUAACUACGUGCCAGCAGCCGCGGUAAUACGUAGGGUGCAAGCGUUAUCCGGAAUUAUUGGGCGUAAAGAGCUCGUAGGCGGUUUGUCGCGUCUGGUGUGAAAGUCCAUCGCUUAACGGUGGAUCUGCGCCGGGUACGGGCAGGCUAGAGUGCGACAGGGGAGACUGGAAUUCCCGGUGUAACGGUGGAAUGUGUAGAUAUCGGGAAGAACACCAAUGGCGAAGGCAGGUCUCUGGGUCGUCACUGACGCUGAGGAGCGAAAGCGUGGGGAGCGAACAGGAUUAGAUACCCUGGUAGUCCACGCCGUAAACGGUGGAUGCUGGAUGUGGGGCCCAUUCCACGGGUUCCGUGUCGGAGCUAACGCGUUAAGCAUCCCGCCUGGGGAGUACGGCCGCAAGGCUAAAACUCUAA